rnacentral:lncRNA from 1 species
GGUCAUGGUCUGUAGUUAUACUGGCUGUCUCCCUUGCUUACUUAAAGGUACAAUCCAAUUGAAAAUAAAGAUUUUUGCAGGUUUGCUCAUUACACACAGUGUCGGCAGCUGGUGAGUGUCUUUUGCAAUUCAUCAGAGGCCUCCCAGACCACCUGCUCUCGGCAUCCUGCAAACAGCUGGCUCUGGGACCCUGGCUGACACCCUUCAUUAAAAGAUAAUGCUUGCUCCCACUGCCCCUCCUGAGAACCAGAAAGAUAAUAUAAUUAAAUCUUAGCACCCCCUACUUGGGUAUGCUGGGUCAACUAAUGAAAAAUAUGAACUAUCCACCAAAGGAGCUGCAACAUCUGGCCAAUGUGGUGCUGGAAGGGCAUGAUGUCAAGCCAAGACCAAGGAAGCCUCGUCCACCACAGAAGGAACAUCAGCUCCGUGGAGGGCACAAGUUGCAAGGCGGCCAUGCUGCACGACUCCAGGGGGCACCACUCACACAGAAAGCAGCCAUCCCUGCUGGCAGAGGCAGGAUGCCCAUCAGGUCCUAGAGGACAUAGAGGGCUGCUUGCCCGGUCAGCCUGGGGAGUUUUCCAGAAGAGGCCAUAUGACACUACAAAUCUAUUCCCAGUAACUCACGCAUCUCUGCCCAAAGCAGGUCCUCUAUUUGCAGGAAGAAUCGAGACAAAGCAAGCUCCUCCACGCUGUGACUCCAGGAGAGAAGAGAAGGACGAGGCACCAGGGGUGUCACAAGGCUGGGUGAAAACCAGGGAGAACCGUGAGCAUUAUGAG